rnacentral:rRNA from 1 species
UACGAAGGGGGCUAGCGUUGCUCGGAAUGACUGGGCGUAAAGGGCGCGUAGGCGGAGUGCUUUGUCGGGCGUGAAAUUCCAGGGCUCAACCUUGGGGCUGCGUUCGAGACGGGCAUUCUAGAGUUCGGAAGAGGGUCGUGGAAUUCCCAGUGUAGAGGUGAAAUUCGUAGAUAUUGGGAAGAACACCGGUGGCGAAGGCGGCGACCUGGUCCGAGACUGACGCUGAGGCGCGAAAGCGUGGGGAGCAAACGGG